UGUCCCAGUUCGGACUGGAGUCUGCAACCCGACUCCACGAAGUUGGAUUCGCUAGUAAUCGCGCAUCAGCCACGGCGCGGUGAAUACGUUCCCGGGCCUUGUACACACCGCCCGUCAAGCCAUGGGAGCCGGGGGCGCCUGAAGUCCGGGACCGCGAGGACCGGCCUAGGGCGAAACUGGUAACUGGGGCUAAGUCGUAACAAGGUAGC
rnacentral:rRNA from 1 species